rnacentral:lncRNA from 1 species
GAGAAGGGGUAGAGACGGGUGCACUGUGCAGAGGGAAUUUUUUUUUCAGCGCCGGAUCCUGCAGAGGGGCGAGGCGCUCUAUUUUGUUUUGUGGAAAUCGGCAAUUAUUUCUAGUUGGAUCAAUGGGCAUAAUUUCUGAGAGGUCGGGUGGGUCUGCGUAAGCUUCUACGCGCAUUUGGAAACCCAUUGGGUUUUGAGUUACGAAACCGCACAGACUUUCUCCCACCCCAGCGGCUCCGGGCAAUAAGCUAGGCCUGCCCUACACGGAGCAAGCGAGCGUCAGGCCUUCCCGAGGGAUUUCAGGAAGGUUCUUUCCAAUGUUUUAUUCAGCUUCCAGCCUCUCAGCUUUGGGCCUUCAGGGAAAGUGUUGACUAGGGAGUACAAGGUUCUCAGCUGGGGUCCACUGAGGAGGUAGGAAGAAAAGAGAGCUGCCACUCCUGCCUGGAGCUGAACAACAGGCCAAGAAGAGUUUGGUGUUGGAUGUGACAGAGAAAACAUUAAAGGAAUAUUCUGGUUGA